CUAGGAAGAAUAUAGUUUGACAAAAUAUAUUUUUUAGAUAAUUAAUAUAGUUGAAACAAUUUUUGUGGAAAAAAACAGUGACUUGAAAUUUUAUCAUUCUGUAUACAUUUAAGAGGGUUGUAGUUAUUGCUAGUUUAGGUGCUUAAACUACUUCACCUCCUUCACUAGCAACAUUCUAAAGGUAUCUGGUUGGCAUGCAGACAGCUAACUUCAAAGAUGCUGGUAACAUGUUUCAAAAAGGACAAAGAAACAUUUUAACAAGAUAUUGCUCAUGAAGAAGGAUAGUGGAUUAAUGCUGGUAUAAUGAAGCAGUAAGUUUCACCUUCGCACUGGAACUCCAGAUUUAUUCAGUGUUAACUGCACACAUACAACAUUGUAUUGCAUGUCAAUAUUCAUAAUAAAAUCUGUUACAUGUAUUUAUCAAAAAAUAAGAAUAAUGGAUUAUUAAAUAGGUACAGAAUUACUUGUGAAAUGAAUAAAACAGUAAUAUAUAAAUUGUUAAAGUUUUGUGGUAUUUAUGUCAGUAUUCUUUAAAUGAUUGUUUCAAAGUGUGUAUAACAAAAUAUUAGAAAUAUUUAAAAUAUCACCUGAAAGGAGCAAUAAUAAGCUGCCUUUGC